rnacentral:RNase_P_RNA from 1 species
UGAAUUUGGUGAUUGAUCGCUGAAAAGUAAUUUUCAGAGGAAAGUCCGGGCUUCGUGUGGGCAAGGUGCCGGAUAACGUCCGGCGUCGGGGGUUGAAAAAUCUUCGAUAGGGAAAGUGCAACAGAAAAGAUACCGCCUCUACUCGACAUUUGUUGAAUGGGGUAAGGGUGAAAUGGCGACGGUAAGAGCGCACCGCACGAUUGGUAACGAUUGUGGCUUUGCAAACCCCACCUGAAGAAAGACCAAAUAGAGGUGGCGCGGAUACUUCUGUUAUUCGUGAGAGCCUGCACUCACAGUCACCUGGGUAGGUCGCUCGAGCUCAUCGGUAACGGUGCGCCUAGAUGAAUGAUCAAUCAGAAGAAUUGUGUUUCUUCGGACAGAACCCGGCUUAUAGCCAGAUUCAUGCU